CCUACGGGAUGCAGCAGUGGGGAAUAUUGGACAAUGGGCGAAAGCCUGAUCCAGCCAUGCCGCGUGUGUGAAGAAGGCCUUCGGGUUGUAAAGCACUUUCAGUGGGGAAGAAAGCCUUGGGGCUAAUACCCUCGAGGAAGGACAUCACCCACAGAAGAAGCACCGGCUAACUCCGUGCCAGCAGCCGCGGUAAUACGGAGGGUGCGAGCGUUAAUCGGAAUUACUGGGCGUAAAGCGCGCGUAGGCGGUCUGAUAAGCCGGUUGGGAAAGCCCCGGGCUCAACCUGGGAACGGCAUCCGGAACUGUCAGGCUCGAGUGCAGGAGAGGAAGGUAGAAUUCCCGGUGUAGCGGUGAAAGGCGUAGAGAUCGGGAGGAAUACCAGUGGCGAAGGCGGCCUUCUGGACUGACACUGACGCUGAGGUGCGAAAGCGUGGGUAGCAAACAGGAUUAGAUACCCUGGUAGUC
rnacentral:rRNA from 1 species